ensembl:lncRNA
UAAUUGUAAUGGUACACACUGAGAGACUGCUGUUUUCUGAUGACUUCCGGGCAUGUGCUGAGGCUUUGGCCUAUAAACAGCCAAAUAUCAACAACAGUGCAGCUGAUUUGUGCUUCAUUUGCUACCACAGCAGAAACAGACUUCUUUGUUGGUCAGACGCUUCAAGUGUGAAGCUUCAUUGGAUGCUGAGAUUAGUUUUAGAGACGUUAUCCUUCUGUCUUGUGUUCAGUGAGGCUGCUGGCUGUUGUGUUGCAGGUCAUUCGGUCUCUCAGCAUUGAUCUUCAGGUUGCGCUGUUCAGAUUUUCAACACUCGACAUGAGUAAGUUUCACGGUGAGCUGACGCAGAGGGAGCAGGAGUUGCUUAAAAUUCGUCGCGACAGCGACACUAAAGCUGCUCAACUGGUGAAGAUGGAGAAGAUGCUGCAGCAGACCAAGAACCUGCUGGACAAGAAGACAGAGUCUAGUUCAGAGAGUAUGGGCUACCAGGAGAACAUGGUGGAGGACCUGGAGGAAAAGGUUCGCUCCAGCAGACGAUACAGGAGAAACUCGCUUCAUCACACGCAGAUGCUGGAGAGUCAGAUGAAAACGGUGAAGGGCGAGCUGGUGGGGACGCUGGACCACCUGCAGGAGCUGAGGAACGUCCUGCGGCGUUCACAGCAGAAGGCAGAGGAACGCAAAGCGGCGAUGGAGAAGCUGGCGGCUGGGCUCAGGUGAACAACCUUUUCAUUCAGAACCAGCUGUUGACCUUUUCCAGCUCCAGCACACGUGACGCCCAACAUCCUGCCAACAAGGCCAUGCAGAUAUUACAUCUAAGAAGACCUAAACACAAACAGUGGUGAGAAGAAACCAUGCUUUCGUUGUUCUCCUUCAUCAGUGAGGCCUUGAUUUCUCAUUAUUUGGAUGUUAUUGAUGGUUGCAAAUAGCCUCUUCUUCUCUUUCUUCCUCAUUCAUGCUUUAAUCUCUAAAGGCCUCAUGCUAAUGCACUGAAUUUGACAUGACCUGCUUCUUUGUGUCUUCUGGAAAUAAUCCAAAGAUGAUUAUAAAUUUCUAUUGAUUAUUUGGGACCAACAGUUUGAACUUAUGUUAAAUGAUAUUUCAAAUUUUACUUUUACUAUCUCCUGUCUGAAAAAUGGAGCUCACUCUUAUAUCUUCUCAGAAGCAAUAAUGAAGCUCUGAAAAACAACCUCCCAUAAAUGUUUCCUCCAGGUUGUUGACUUCCUCACAUUUAUAUAUGCUUAUCUGUUUGUAAGUAGAAAAAAUUUCUAUGAUGUUAACUUUAUUUGGACAUUUUCCAUCUGCAGCCUGUUGGAUCAGCCUGUUCUUGCCCAUAAAUGACAUCUUUUAUAUUACAGAGUUGUAUGUUUAUCCACUACUUGUGUUGCUAUUAAAUUCCUACAAGCUGAUUCCAAUGUAUGAGUUGAUUAUUUUGCUUUAAUAUCUUCGUCGGAGUGGUAUAUAGCAAAAAACAACAACAACAACAAAACAAACAAAAAAACAC